rnacentral:rRNA from 1 species
GGACCCACACAAGCGGUGGAGCAUGUGGUUUAAUGCGAAACUACGCGCAAAACCUUACCCGCUCUUGACUUCGACCCUGGUCUUCAGGAGACUGAAAGACUUCAACGGUCGACAGGUGUUGCAUGGCUGUCGUCAGCUCGUGUCGUAAGAUGUUGGGUUAAGUCCUUUAACGAGCGCAACCCCUAUGGCUUGUUCCCCCCUGGUCACAGAGGUGGACUCUAGUCAGACCGCCAGUCACACACUGGAGGAAGGAAGGGAUGACGUCAAGUCCUCAUGGCCCUUAUGAGCGGGGCUACACACGUGCUACAUGGGAAAGGACAAAGGGAGGCCAAAGGGUGACCUGGAGCGAAACCUGAACCCUUUCCGUGUUCGGAUUGAAGGCUGCAACUCGCCUUCAUGAAGGUGGAAUCGCUAGUAA